UACGUAGGGGGCAAGCGUUGUCCGGAAUCAUUGGGCGUAAAGCGCGUGUAGGCGGUCCGAUAAGUUCGCUGUGAAAGUCGGGGGCUUAACCCUCGGAUGCCGGUGAAUACUGUCGGGCUUGAGUACGGAAGAGGCGAGUGGAAUUCCUGGUGUAGCGGUGAAAUGCGCAGAUAUCAGGAGGAACACCAAUUGCGAAGGCAGCUCGCUGGGACGUUACUGACGCUGAGACGCGAAAGCGUGGGGAGCGAACAGG
rnacentral:rRNA from 1 species